UUGGACCUAGGAUGCUUCUAGAGAUGAAAUGCUGUAUGGCCAGAGAGCUUCUUCACCAGUUGGUUGAGUUUGGCUUUUCUUUCUGUAUGUGACUAUUGGUCUACUUGUGAAUUCUCUACCUAGUAUUGCCAAGGACCUGGCAGAAGCAAUUUUCCUUCUUCAUAUAACAGAACAGAUAACCCUUUUUGUUAAGGCACAACAGGGUUGGUCAGCACUUGCCUUCAUCUAUGCAGUGUGGCUGUAAACACCCAUACAAAGUAGUGAUGCAUCAGUGAUGCCCAGGGAGUGGAAAAAUGUCAUUGCUUUCAUCAUUAUAUCCCAGGCAAAAUAAGGUAAAUAGAAACCAGGGUUUCCAUGGGCCAUCAACGCAUGUCAAGUCAAAAGCUCUUUCUGCUCUGAAAUAUACAGUCCGUUCCCUUUUUGCUACAGCUCUACGUAAGAGACAUGGAACUCAUUUGGAUGCAGUUCAAAUAACAAUGUCACUUUCUGACUGCCUCAAGGAUCUGACAGGAGGAAUUGAGUAUGCUGCCAAGAUAUUAAAUGAAAUUCCCCAGAAAGACAUUCAGUGCACUAAAAGAGCCUCAAAGGCAGAAAGGGAAGGAAAUGGGCAAGUUAUACCCAGGCACUCCACCUGAUGGAGAUCGAAUUGCAAUGAGAAGUAGAGCCACUGGUGCAGGGUCUAUUGAUGAUAACUGCACACCUUGGCGAAGCUUUCCCACAACCUCCUGUGUGCUAAGGCAGCAUCACUGGUAGAUCCAGGACCUUAAUUCAUGAUCAUUAUGCUGAUCUGGGGUUCCAUGUAGCGUGAGCUGGAAAAUCUGACUAUUUUAUUUGGAUUGUAACCUUAGUUUUCCCAUUUCAUUAUUAUAUAUAUAUAUAAAAAAAAAGACAGACAUCCAAAUAGUUGCAUUAUCUUGAAUGUUUAUUUGGCAACCAGUUAUGAAAAUCAGGAGCAGGAAAUCAUUUCAACUAGGAUCAGAGUAUCUUACUUACAUAAGGAACUUGACAGUGCCACAGCCUCAGUAAUACAUAUGCAAAACAGAUCUACAUUUUCCUUUGCUUAUUUGAAUUAAAAAAAAAAAGCUAAUAUGUACUAUUUAGUAGAAGUUGUUUUCCUGUCAAACAAUAUUGUAAACUAAUAAUUUGUCAAAGCUUCAAAGGUCUACUGCUGACCUGAUUUACUAUAUUGCGUAUUGUAAGGACUCCACAGUAGUAUGACUGAAGAGUGCUCUUGUCUUCCAAAAUUGAAAUGACUCCAUAAAUCUCCUUCAACCCAAUCAUACAUUAAUUAAAUAAAUGUAUGGUGCAUGCCUUUUGAACACAGAUAUUCAUUAUUUUGCUUGAUGAGUGACCUUAGCUAGAAUUUGCUGAUGUCCAAAGGGGUAAGCUUGUGACCUCAGGAACGUGGUUAAUUUUAAUUAGUCCAAGACGUGUUCAGACUCUGUUGUUUUGAAGCAUUUUAAUUCAGUUUUGAUGGCAUUAUUCUCAGGGAGCAUGAAACAGAUGCACAUAAUUCUUGUUAGCGUAUUACUUGAAGCUGACUUCAAACAUGUGUUCGUUGUAAAUCGUUAGACUGUUUUCAUCCAUUGGGAAUCCAGUCUGCCAAUUUGCUUUUCUUUAAAAAAUAAUUGUUAUUAUUACUACUGUUAUUGUUUGCAGCUCACACAUAGGAUCUAUGGCAUGUGGUUGGCACUUUUUAUGUUGAGAUCUAUAUGGAAAAAAAUCUCUGCUUAUAAAGCUUGUAGUAAAAGCC
rnacentral:lncRNA from 7 species